rnacentral:lncRNA from 1 species
GCCGCGCCGCUGCCGUCCGCCGCCGGUCGCCGGCGAUCCUCCGCCGUCUCGAUUCUCGUGCCAACUUCAAAAGCUCGUAUCUCCUCCAUCCGAGCUCCGAUUCAGGUGAUCUUGGUCUCGUUGGACUCCGUUUUUCACCGCGAACCUCGCUGUAGGCUCAAUGUGAGCUGUAUCUCGAGGCGUCAAAUCCUAACAGCAGAAGAACUAUAUAUAGAUAAAAUCCUAAGAUUAUUCUAUAGAGUGUCCAUUUCGAAUGAUACUCAAAGAAUGAGGAUGUUGUUUGAAAAUAAUUAGCUAAAAG